CAGCCAUAUUGGGUUACAACCCACCCUCAUGACCUCAUUCAAACUUAAUUACCUCCAUGAGGAUCGCAUCUCCAAAUACAAUCACAUUCCAAGGCCUGAAGUUUCUCACUCAUUAACCUGGAGCAACAAAAUGGAAAGAAUUCUGAUGACAAAGUAGAGAACCUGUCCCUUUGCUGGCUCUGAGGAUGACUGACUGUUGUGUGGGUGAGGUCUGCAGACAGAAGCCAGCUCUGCUCUCUCCAUUGAGUCUCACUCUUGUCACCCAGGCUGGAGUAUAGUGGCGCAAUCUCGGCUCACUGCAACCUCCACCUCCCGAGUUGAAGCAAUUCUACUGCCUCAGCCUCCUGAGUAGCUGGGAUUACAGAUGCCCGCCACCACGCCCAGCUAAUUUUUGUACUUUUAGUAGAGACGGGGUUUCGCCAUAUUGGCCAGGCUGGUCUCGAACUCCUGAUCUCAGAGAAACUAGAGGAAAGCUUUACAACAUUCUAUCUGGAAUAGAAGGUGUGGGUUGCAAUCAUUGAGGUGAUGUAAUUACCACUAUUCUUUUGAAGUGAAUUUUAGACCAGGAUAGUUUAUAAGAUACAGCAAAUCAUCAAUAAACAUUUAGUAUGCCAGUCACUGUGAGUCUAUAGGAAUAAAAUGUGCUCCUGCCCUUGAGGAAUCCACAGUUUACUUAGAGAAAAAGGCAUACACAGAAGAGAUAAUUAGCAGCCGGUGAGAGCAAGCAUCAUGCGAGAAAAUUAAAUAAUGGGGAUUCAAAUCUUAUUGGUAGAUGACAUUCAGACUUUAAACAUUCAAGCAAAGAUAUUUCUUUGAAAACUGGAGGUGAAUGUCACUUGCUUAAGUUCAUAUUUGGAACAAAGGAAAUUCACAAUUAUAAUACAUGUUGAAAUGAAAUUUGUAAUGUGGAAAAUCUUUAAAUUUACUUACGUAUUUCUUCAUGAGGUCAUAUUUAGAGAUUUAGUGGCAUUGGUGAAUAGGAAAUAAUGUACAGAACAUUUAAAUGGCUAUUUCAGAGAUUAGAAAAGAAGUAAAAGCAAUUAAAAUAUGUUUUCAGUGUUGGGACUUUUGUUCAUAUAAGACCAUUGAGUGAACAUGCCUAGUGAGUGUGAGGACAUAGGUUUG